AUGAAACACAAAGAUCCCAAUAGAUCAGCAUCAUUAAGGAGAACCCAUAGGGUGCAGCAGCAGAUUUUAGCAGGCCGUCAAUUCACUGGAUUGCACACUUAACACUGCCAAUCACAUACUCUACCGUCAUACUCAUGUAAAACUUAACCACUAUGUUAAGUAAUCCAACAAGAUAGAGAACAGAAACAACAUAUCCAUACCAGACUUUGGUUGUAAACUUCAUCUUCGGGGGUUCAAAUGGGUAUCCAUCUACAACAAAAAUAACAAAAACGAAUCGUCAAUGAUGAUAAAUUUUUUCAAAAAGCAUUAUACUAAACAACAGCCACAAUCAAUCUUUUACCCAGACCAUGAAUUGAAAACCCUAGCUAACUCUAAUUGAAAAACAAUAAUUGGGGAUAAAUAGCAAGAAACCGAAUACGAAUAGUUUAGUACCGGGUAUUGUGAUUUCAAUCUGAA
rnacentral:lncRNA from 1 species